rnacentral:lncRNA from 1 species
CGGUGGAACAUUCUCCCGCCGCAUGCCUUCCAACCGGACUUCAAAAAAUGGAAAGAUCAAAGUCAGUAUACGAGGAAAUGAUAAUUUGAAAGAAGUUGUUUUACGCCUCGCCGUAGACCAAAUGUGGCUAAUGAUGAUAUUCGGCAGGGAAAUUCGAGCAAAAAGAGAAUUCCGAUUAUGGAACAUGUAAUCAAGGAAGUAGAUGUCACUCUUGCGAACCUCUGUGUGCCCCGUCUUUUUGGGAAUAACAUUGUGAGCCAUCAUAUAACUAAGGAGACGAUGGCGAGGUUCGAAAAUAUUUGCCAAUAUCGUCUCCUUCCUCGUAGAGCGAAAAGGUUGGUACUCAAUGCCAAAUCUGGCCAUGGCCAAUGAUGGAUCUCACCUCCUAUUUGGGGGAACAAACUCCUUCUUCAAAUCAACUGGACGUCCGUCAUCUAUACAUCUCAAAAUAGCAGCCAAAUCUUGACGUGACAAGACGAUUCGUCG